AAGUCGUAACAAGGUUUCCGUAGGUGAACCUGCGGAAGGAUCAUUAUCCUUUAGCUUGUGCGAGACGCUCUAUAGCUCUUGUACUCGAGCUCACAACGCUCUUAUUGCGCGGUAGCCGAUCUUCGGGUCGACUGCCAACCAAAACAAAAUCCACAGUAGGCUCACUUGCUACUGCGGUCAGGUACCUAUCAGCUGAAGCGGCUCUCUUGGGAGCCGUGUUGGCGUAAAGAUUACACCACCUCAUGUGGAGUAACGCCUGCUUAGCUUACAAGUUUUCUCACCUUUAAAUUACAUAUUCUUAGAGUUGUGAUUGUGAUAAAGUCUAAUCUAAUUAGAUGAUUUAACACAUUAACAACCCUAUGCGGUGGAUCACUUGGCUC
rnacentral:misc_RNA from 1 species